rnacentral:rRNA from 1 species
AGCGAACGCUGGCGGCAGGCUUAACACAUGCAAGUCGAACGCCCGGGCAACCGGGAGUGGCAGACGGGUGAGUAACACGUGGGAACGUACCCUUUGGUUCGGAAUAACUCAGGGAAACUUGAGCUAAUACCGGAUAAGCCCUUACGGGGAAAGAUUUAUCGCCGAAGGAUCGGCCCGCGUCCGAUUAGCUAGUUGGUGAGGUAACGGCUCACCAAGGCGACGAUCGGUAGCUGGUCUGAGAGGAUGAUCAGCCACACUGGGACUGAGACACGGCCCAGACUCCUACGGGAGGCAGCAGUGGGGAAUAUUGGACAAUGGGGGCAACCCUGAUCCAGCCAUGCCGCGUGAGUGAUGAAGGCCCUAGGGUUGUAAAGCUCUUUCGGCGGGGACGAUAAUGACGGUACCCGCAGAAGAAGCCCCGGCUAACUUCGUG